UUAUUUGAUUUCCUUCGGGACUGAUUAUUUUGUGACUGAGUGGCGGACGGGUGAGUAACGCGUGGGUAACCUGCCUUGUACAGGGGGAUAACAGUUGGAAACGGCUGCUAAUACCGCAUAAGCGCACAGUAUCGCAUGAUGCAGUGUGAAAAACUCCGGUGGUAUAAGAUGGACCCGCGUUGGAUUAGCUAGUUGGUGAGGUAACGGCCCACCAAGGCGACGAUCCAUAGCCGACCUGAGAGGGUGACCGGCCACAUUGGGACUGAGACACGGCCCAAACUCCUACGGGAGGCAGCAGUGGGGAAUAUUGCACAAUGGGCGAAAGCCUGAUGCAGCGACGCCGCGUGAGCGAAGAAGUAUUUCGGUAUGUAAAGCUCUAUCAGCAGGGAAGAUAAUGACGGUACCUGACUAAGAAGCACCGGCUAAAUACGUGCCAGCAGCCGCGGUAAUACGUAUGGUGCAAGCGUUAUCCGGAUUUACUGGGUGUAAAGGGAGCGCAGGCGGUGCGGCAAGUCUGAUGUGAAAGCCCGGGGCUCAACCCCGGUACUGCAUUGGAAACUGUCGUACUAGAGUGUCGGAGGGGUAAGCGGAAUUCCUAGUGUA
rnacentral:rRNA from 1 species